AUGCCUAACACAUGCAAGUCGAACGAUGCUUUCGGGCAUAGUGGCGCACGGGUGCGUAACGCGUGGGAAUCUGCCCCUUGGUUCGGAAUAACCGUUGGAAACGACGGCUAAUACCGGAUGACGACGUAAGUCCAAAGAUUUAUCGCCGAGGGAUGAGCCCGCGUAGGAUUAGCUAGUUGGUGUGGUAAAGGCGCACCAAGGCGACGAUCCUUAGCUGGUCUGAGAGGAUGAUCAGCCACACUGGGACUGAGACACGGCCCAGACUCCUACGGAAGGCAGCAGUGGGGAAUAUUGGACAAUGGGCGAAAGCCUGAUCCAGCAAUGCCGCGUGAGUGAUGAAGGCCUUAGGGUUGUAAAGCUCUUUUACCCGGGAUGAUAAUGACAGUACCGGGAGAAUAAGCUCCGGCUAACUCCGUGCCAGCAGCCGCGGUAAUACGGAGGGAGCUAGCGUUGUUCGGAAUUACUGGGCGUAAAGCGCACGUAGGCGGCUUUGUAAGUUAGAGGUGAAAGCCUGGAGCUCAACUCCAGAAUUGCCUUUAAGACUGCAUCGCUUGAAUCCAGGAGAGGUGAGUGGAAUUCCGAGUGUAGAGGUGAAAUUCGUAGAUAUUCGGAAGAACACCAGUGGCGAAAGCGGCUCACUGGACUGGUAUUGACGCUGAGUGCGAAAGCGUGGGGAGCAAACAGNAUUAGAUACCCUGGUAGUCCACGCCGUAANCGAUGAUANCUAGCUGUCCGGGGACUNGGUCUUUGGGUGGCGCAGCUAACGCAUUAAGUUAUCCGCCUGGGGAGUACGGCCGCAAGGUUAAAACUCAAAUGAAUUGACGGGGGCCUGCACAAGCGGUGGAGCAUGUGGUUUAAUUCGAAGCAACGCGCAGAACCUUACCAGCGUUUGACAUGUCCGGACGAUUUCGGGAGACCGAUCUCUUCCCUUCGGGGACUGGAACACAGGUGCUGCAUGGCUGUCGUUAGCUCGUGUCGUGAGAUGUUGGGUUAAGUCCCGCAACGAGCGCAACCCUCGCCUUUAGUUACCAUCAUUUAGUUGGGGACUCUAAAGGAACCGCCGGUGAUAAGCCGGAGGAAGGUGGGGAUGACGUCAAGUCCUCAUGGCCCUUACGCGCUGGGCUACACACGUGCUACAAUGGCGGUGACAGUGGGCAGCAAUCCUGCAAGGGUGAGCUAAUCUCCAAAAGCCGUCUCAGUUCGGAUUGCACUCUGCAACUCGAGUGCAUGAAGGCGGAAUCGCUAGUAAUCGCGGAUCAGCAUGCCGCGGUGAAUACGUUCCCAGGCCUUGUACACACCGCCCGUCACACCAUGGGAGUUGGGUUCACCCGAAGGCGUUGCGCUAACUCAGCAAUGAGAGGCAGGCGACCACGGUGGGCUUAGCGACUGGGGUGAAGUCGUAACAAAGGUAUCC
rnacentral:rRNA from 1 species